rnacentral:rRNA from 1 species
UACGGAGGGUGCGAGCGUUGUCCGGAAUCGCUGGGCGUAAAGGGCGCGUAGGUGGCGCGGAAAGUCAACGGUGAAAGUUCGGGGCUCAACCCUGAAUCGGCCGUCGAUACUGCCGCGCUUGAGCACUGUAGAGGCAGAUGGAAUUCCGGGUGUAGCGGUGGAAUGCGUAGAGAUCCGGAAGAACACCGGUGGCGAAGGCGGUCUGCUGGGCAGUUGCUGACACUGAGGCGCGACAGCGUGGGGAGCAAACAGG